CGGUGGAGCAUGUGGUUAAUUCGUAAGCAACGCGAAGAACUACCAGGCCUUGACAUGCAGAGAACUUUCCAGAGAUGGAUUGGUGGCCUUCGGGAACUCUGACACAGGUGCUGCAUGGCUGUCGUCAGCUCGUGUCGUGAGAUGUUGGGUUAAGUCCCGUAACGAGCGCAACCCUUGUCCUUAGUUACCAGCACGUUAUGGUGGGCACUCUAAGGAGACUGCCGGUGACAAACCGGAGGAAGGUGGGGGAUGACGUCAAGUCAUCAUGGCCCUUACGGCCUGGGCUACACACGUGCUACAAUGGUCGGUACAAAGGGUUGCCAAGCCGCGAGGUGGAGCUAAUCCCAUAAAACCGAUCGUAGUCCGGAUCGCAGUCUGCAACUCGACUGCGUGAAGUCGGAAUCGCUAGUAAUCGUGAAUCAGAAUGUCACGGUGAAUACGUUCCCGGGCCUU
rnacentral:rRNA from 1 species